AUUGAACGCUGGCGGCAGGCCUAACACAUGCAAGUCGAGCGGAGCGGCGGACGGGUGAGUAAUGCCUAGGAAUCUGCCUGGUAGUGGGGGAUAACGUCCGGAAACGGGCGCUAAUACCGCAUACUAUCAGAUGAGCCUAGGUCGGAUUAGCUAGUUGGUGGGGUAAAGGCCUACCAAGGCGACGAUCCGUAACUGGUCUGAGAGGAUGAAGAGGCAAACUGGAACUGAGACACGGUCCAGACGGGUGGGGGGGGGGGGGGGGGGGGGUAUUGUGGGAGGGGCGAAAGCCUGAUGCGUCCAUGCCGCGUGUGUGAAGAAUGGCGUCGGAUGUGACGUCACUUUAAGUUGGGAGGCGUUACCAACAGAAUAAGCACCGGCUAACUUCGUGCCAGCCGCCGCGGUAAUAC
rnacentral:rRNA from 1 species